rnacentral:tmRNA from 1 species
GGGGGUGAAAUAGUCUCGACGGUAGAGGCUGGGGCUAUGUUGCAGGUCGCAGCGCCUACCUGCGUUAAAAUGGGCACGGCUAUAAAUGCCAAAAACAACCAACCUGCUCUGGCUUACGCCGCCUAAGGCUGUAUAGUCAGGGUGCUGGGUCAUAGUAACCCAGCCGUCCACGUUUUUCGUCGCUGUGCGGAGAACUACUGGGCGUCACCAAUUACAGCGUGCGGCACCCGCCAUGUCGAUUCACGGGGUCAAAGAACUAUCGGCUGGUAACGCCCGUACCACGUCGGAUGGGGCUAGGCGUUACGAGAACAAACAUCUGGCUAAACCUGUAGACGCAUAGUUUCGAGUCUAUCGGACCCGAUCGGCGGUAGGUCGGCACCUCCAUAG